ensembl:snRNA U6 U6 spliceosomal RNA
GUGUCUGCUUUGGCAACACAUAUACUAAAAUUAGAACAAUACAAAGAAGAUUAGCAUGACUCCUGUGCAAGGAUGAAAUGUAAAUUCGUAAAGUAUUCUGUAUUUUU